UUUCAGCUUGCUGUACAGACUGUUGCCGCGCUGGCUGGCUAGGUCGCUCUUUGCAGGUACCGUCUUACAGCCAUCAUGUCUGUGUAAAGAAAGCAAGAGUGCCUAAGGAGGUGACCUGGACUGUGAACAUCCACCCUGACCAGCCUGGAAGCCAACAGUUAAUCAUACAGCAGAAUCCAGAGAAAUUCAACAAGGGCCAUUAGGAGUGAAAGCAUGCAAACUAGAAGCUGAGGAGUGCUAUGUUGUGAAAUACUGUCAACUGGACAUGCUAUGGCUAUGACACUCACGAACUGUGGAUAUCUACAGCUACAUCAAUACAGUGAUAAAAAUUGCAACAUUGAUAGAGGAGAUGGUGUCAAGGCUCCACCCAUUACUGAGGAGGUUUUGGCAGCUGAUAGCUGAUUUGAAAGAACUCCUUGGAGAUGACGGCUCCAUCUAGGACUUGCCUAGGAAAAGAAGCAAUGAGGGCAGAUCACUGUGUAACGCUAGAUAGCCUUCAUCCAGUAGCUGUUCGAAGCAAAAACAGGCACCCACAGGCUCAGAGAUCUAUACAGAAGAGGAGACAGAAAGAUUGUAAUAGCCAGAGGUUGUGGAUAUCUCCAAGGAAACAACAUAUUCCAGGUAUACCAGUGCUGAAACCUACAUGGACUCAAAGAGACAGCAACAGCCUGCAAAGGUUUAUAACCAGACAAGAUCCCAGUGUGGAGAAGGGAAAUUAGACCCAAAAUACCACCCUUAACCAAGAAGCCAUUUGCAAUUGAUACUUUCUUGGAAAGGGAAAACAUAUUUUCAUUGUGGAGUAUCAUUGGAUAUAUUAACCAGACUCCAGGGCAGGUCCCAUGCACAGGAGUAGUUUGUCAACACAAAUAUACUCCAUGUUUAUUUGUUUUGUUUUCCAUGUAUGUUCAUGAUGUGCUUAUUUUUCUUUGUUCUGUUUUGAUAUUCUUUUACUUGUUGAAAAGAUUUGUUGCUCAGAUUUCUCCUUUGUUUUUGAGGAAUGUAUUUUGACAGAAAGAUGAAAUUGGAUGGGUAUGGAAGUAGGAAGGA